ACACAUACAAGCUCACUUUUAAAGACACACUCAAUGUCACAUAUACACACACAAACACAUAAUUACAAUAUUAUUUUAUUUUCAAAUUGUGUUAAAUAAAUUUUUAUUUCAGCGUUGAGACGAGAAAUUGACAUUAAUAUAUACAAACACAUACACAUACACACACACUCUCACACACACACAUUCACAUGCACACACAUACAGACACUCUCCGAUCCACUCACUCACUCACACAAACACACACACACACAGACACACACACAGACACACACACACCUACAGACACACACAUAGGUUAUACACCCAAUAAAACACCCGGGGUAAUACACGCAAACACUUACACACUCAAAACACAUACACACACUCAGUCUCAAAGUCACACACACACACACACACACACACACACACACACACACACACACACACAUUAUAAUGACAGUAGAUAAAUAAUUUGAACUUCUUUUCAAAUUUUAUAAUAUUUAUUGUGUUUUUAUUGCAGAGUUGAGGAAGGUUGACAGAGAAUCGAAGCUGUUAGUCAGAGUGUUGAAACGGGAAAACGAAGAGUUGAGGAGGAGGGUAGACGAUGGUAAUACACACAAACACUUACACACUCAAACACACACACACACACCUGCUGACACACACAGACACACACUGGUAAUAUACACACACGCACACACUCA